UAGAAUUAAGACAUCCGGGAUAAAUGACUAAGCUGAGCUCAAUGAAGCCAAAACAUGUGCGUCCAGGCUUAAUUGGUUGCACAAAGACCAAGCCAGGAUGAGCAGACACGGAUUCAUUAAGCCGGGUGAAACCAAUCCUGGAUAGGUGCGCGCUCACGGCUCACUCAAAUAGACCCCGCCACAGAUCACAGAUUAACUGAUUUACCAUGGCAACUAGAGCCGCGUACUUUUCCCCGUCGGAAGCACAAAUCCUCAUGGAGGCAUACGAGGAGGUAAAAGAUAUAAUUAAGAAGAAAGGCAACACCGCCACAGUGAUAAAGCAAAGAGAAAAAGCGUGGCAAAGUAUUGCAGACCGCCUGAAUGCCAGUGAAAAAGAAUACCCACAGACAAGGCACGGGUGGUGGGUCACCAAAGGCUGACCUUACCCCAGCAGAGGACAUGGCCUUGGAGCUAAAUAAAGGCAGGCCCGUCUUAGAGGGGAUCCCUGGGGGAAAGAGACGAGCAUAGGUUCCUCCCAAGAUGCCACCCGCUUCAUUCAAGUGUCUGGCAGCACUGUGUUCCUGUUAGAGCCACCAGCACAAGCACCAGACGAUGCUGAUCCAGUGAGUACUCCAUCAAAGGCAUACUGUAGGCCUGGCAUGUCUUGUCUACUAGCUUCAAUAUGAAUCCGAUUAAAUGUGAUAGGGUGAAGGCCCCAGUGCAGCAGCAACAGCACAUGAUGGAGACGAUGAUGAU